CAAAACGAACAUAUAUACGGCUAUUGGUUUUAUUACAGUGGCAGGAUUUUUUUCAGAAUAUAUAUAUUUUUGUACUUGCUAACUGGUUGAAGUUACUCAUGUGUUGCAUUCAACGAUUUAGAAACCCGGAAAUAUCCGAGUUUCCUAGUUCCGACGAGCACUUGAACGCGGCACAAGAGGAGCGACACAAAUCUUUGACGUCGUCGUGCAAGAGAAGGCAGAAGAAGGAAGCUCCAGUAGGGUUUGUGUACUUUGGUGUUUAACGUUGUUAUUAUAACGUUACCCUGUUAAACAAGACAUCACCUACGCCCAACUUUAGCCGUUUAGUAAGUGUCAAGACAAGCCAGAAAACUCAGGAGGUUGGUGUGUUGUGGGCUGUCCGUAAAGUCCUAAAAUAUGCCCCUGAGGAUGCAAAAUCUGACCCAUCACACUACUCUUCAAGAGGGCCACUACGCUCCAGAUUGUCUUCUGUCCUCAGAGGUCCUUGUUGAGGAUCUACCCUAUCAUAUCACUCAUAUUGUUCAGUAAUACAAAUAAAACAAUGGGCCUUUA